CCUACGGGAGGCAGCAGUGAGGAAUAUUGGGCAAUGGGGGAAACCCUGAUCCAGCCACGCCGCGUGAGUGAAGAAGGAGUUCGGUAUGUAAAGCUCUUUCAGCCGGGACGAAAAUGACGGUACCGGCUAAAGAAGCACCGGCUAACUACGUGCCAGCAGCCGCGGUAAUACGUAGGGGGCGAGCGUUAUCCGGAUUUACUGGGGGUAAAGGGAGCGUAGGCGGUUAUGUAAGGCAGCAGUGAAAGGCCGGGGCUCAACUCCGGGACUGCCUUUGAAACUGUGUGACUGGAGUGAAGGAGAGGUAAGCGGAAUGCCCGGUGUAGCGGUGAAAUGCGUAGAUAUCGGGAAGAACACCAGUGGCGAAGGCGGCUUACUGGACUGUAACUGACGCUGAGGCUCGAAAGCGUGGGGAGCAAACAGGAUUAGAUACCCUUGUAGUC
rnacentral:rRNA from 1 species